GACGAACGCUGGCGGCGUGCCUAAUACAUGCAAGUCGGACGGAAAGGCCAUGCUUUUGUGGGGCGCUCGAGUGGCGAACGGGGGAGUAACACGCGAGUAACACGCACUUGUAUUUGGGAUAACUUCAGGAAACUGGGGCUAAUACCGGAUAGAAGCUCUUGCUGCACGGGGGGGGUUGGUAAGAUGCGGCGGUGUGGGAUGGAAUCGCGGCUUAUCAGCUUGUUGGUGGGGUAGUGGCUUACCAAGGCUUUGACGGGUAGCCGGCCUGGGAGGGUGACCGGCCACAUUGCGACUGCGGUACGGCCCAGACGCCAACGUGCGGCAGCAGUGGGGAAUAUUGCGCAAUGGGCGGGAGCCUGAUGCAGCGACGCCGCGUGCGGGAUGACGUCCUUCGGGUUGUAAACCGCUUUCGCAUGUGACGAAGCGUGAGUGACGGUAAUGGGUAAAGAAGCACCGGCUAACUACGUG
rnacentral:rRNA from 1 species